CCUACGGGAGGCAGCAGUGGGGAAUAUUGCACAAUGGGGGAAACCCUGAUGCAGCGACGCCGCGUGAGUGAAGAAGUAAUUCGUUACGUAAAGCUCUAUCAGCAGGGAAGAAACACUGACCUUACGGUCAGCAGACGGUACCUGAGUAAGAAGCCCCGGCUAACUACGUGCCAGCAGCCGCGGUAAUACGUAGGGGGCAAGCGUUAUCCGGAUUUACUGGGGGGAAAGGGGGCGUAGGCGGUGCGCCAAGUCUGGAGUGAAAUGCCGCAGCUUAACUGCGGAACUGCUUUGGAAACUGGCGAACUAGAGUGCGAGAGAGGUAAGCGGAAUGCGUGGUGUAGCGGUGAAAUGCGUAGAUAUUAGGAAGAACACCGGUGGCGAAGGCGGCUUACUGGACCGUAACUGACGUUGAGGCUCGAAAGCGUGGGGAGCAAACAGGAUUAGAUACCCCACUAGUC
rnacentral:rRNA from 1 species